rnacentral:rRNA from 1 species
UACAUGGGGUGCAAACGUUGCUCGGAAUUAUUGGGCGUAAAGCGCACGUAGGCGGUUUGUUAAGUCGGAUGUGAAAUCCCUCGGCUCAACUGAGGAAGUGCAUCCGAAACUGGCAAGCUUGAGUACGAAAGAGGGUCGCGGAAUUCCCGGUGUAGAGGUGAAAUUCGUAGAUAUGCGGAGGAACACCGAUGGCGAAGGCAAUCCCCUGGGCCUGUACUGACGCUCAUGCACGAAAGCGUGGGGAGCAAACAGG